UCGGCUGGGCAGCGUUUACCUCGGGCGGCCCCCGGCAGCGACUGGCAGCUCCAGCUCCUAGGCUCAGAGGUGGCCAGGUGGCUCUGUGCGCUUUCCCUGCCUGCAAGUGCUGCCCCGGCAGCUCCCAUUGGCUGUGCCUCCGGGCCAAUGGGAGCGGUGGAGUCGGGGCAGGGCAUGGGGGGCAGCCUGCGGAGACCGCCUGCGCCUAAGCGCUGCACAUGCUGGCCACGUCUGGGAGCCGCAUGGAGCCAGGGCAGGUAGGGAGCCUGCCUUAGCCCUGCUGCACCGCUGACCGGACUUUUGGCCGAUUGUAAUCUCCCAGAUUGCUUUUAAUAGUCACUUGGGGAUUGAGGCCGAUUCCGGUAGACUCUUGGCCAAUCCGGGAGGGCUGACAACCUUAAAUUGGACCCAUAACACUGGCUGCGGCCACCCUGGCUCUAACACACACAGCAUUGUGUGUACCUGACAAACCCAAACCCUGCCAGAGCCAAGCACUGGGCUUAACGCACCUCCUCACCCUGGGAAUGGAGAGGAGAAGGAGUGAAUCACAGGUGGCAGAUCUUGGUUGCCUUGCCUGAUGCACUGCUGGAAGGCUCUCUGGAUAUGCCUUAGGCUUAAAUACUAGCUUUGGUAUAGACACUACCUAUGCCCACAGGGAGGGAUUCCAAUCAAUUGACAAGCCUGAAAGUUUCCCCUUGGUUGCUCCCUGAGUUGCCACACUGGGAUUAAUUCUCACUUUAAGGAAAAAAAAAUGAUGUGGUAACUUUUUAUAUAAUUUUAAAUCAGGAAAAUAGUCUACUCAAGACUUCACAUGUUUUCUGACAACAGUGGGACCUAAGAGUUAUCUUCUUAGCAGCCUGCCUUUGCAGGACCAAUCUCUCUGUUUCUCCUCUAAUCUAGUGGAUGCCAUUGUCAUGGUUGUGGCUGCUGCAGGCAUAGUAUCUACUGCAUUGACGAUAUUUACUACUCCAGUAAUCCUGAGAUUUUGGAAGCAGUCCUGAGGACCUGAGAAAUCUAGAAUCUUGAGUUUUAAACCAAAAGCCUGAAAAUAUGCGGAGCUAGAGCUGAAGAAGAAGCUUACUAGGAGCUAGUGAACAGGAGCAGCUAACAGAGGAAUUUUGCGAGGGACUUCUCCAGGUGAAGAAGGAGCGAUUACAUGACCCUUAGGAUCUUCAACCAAUUUCUCCCAUUUCAUGCCAGUGAAGAGAUUUUAUUUGGGACCAAUAUGAAAAUCCCCUCUGAUUCUGGAGACAC